GACCGGAGUGAACGCACCACUGGUGUUCGGGUUGUCAUGCCAAUGGCAUUGCCCGGUAGCUAAGUGCGGAAAAGAUAAGCGCUGAAAGCAUCUAAGCGCGAAACUUGCCUCAAGAUGAGUCUUCCCUGGGCCUUUAAGGCCCCUGAAGGAACGUUUAAGACUAAGACGUUGAUAGGCUGGGUGUGUAAGUGCAGCGAUGCAUUGAGCUAACCAGUACUAAUGAUCCGUGAGGCUUAACCUU
rnacentral:rRNA from 1 species